rnacentral:rRNA from 1 species
UACUCCUACGGGAGGCAGCAGUGGGGAAUUUUGGACAAUGGGGGCAACCUGAUCCAGACAUGCCGCGUGAGUGAAGAAGGCCUUCGGGUUGUAAAGCUCUUUCGGCCGGGAAGAAAUCGCACAGGCUAAUACCCUGUGUGGAUGACGGUACCGGAAUAAGAAGCACCGGCUAACUACGUGCCAGCAGCCGCGGUAAUACGUAGGGUGCAGCGUUAAUCGGAAUUACUGGGCGUAAAGCGUGCGCAGGCGGUUUGUUAAGAUAGGCGUGAAAUCCCCGGGCUCAACCUGGGAACUGCGUUUAUGACUGGCAGGCUAGAGUAUGGCAGAGGGGGGUGGAAUUCCACGUGUAGCAGUGAAAUGCGUAGAGAUGUGGAGGAACACCGAUGGCGAAGGCAGCCCCCUGGGCCAAUACUGACGCUCAUGCACGAAAGCGUGGGUAGCAAACAGGAUUAGAUACCCUGGUAGUCCACGCCCUAAACGAUGUCAACUAGGUGUUGGGUGGGUAAAACCAUUUAGUACCGGAGCUAACGCGUGAAGUUGACCGCCUGGGGAGUACGGCCGCAAGGUUAAAACUCAAAGGAAUGACGG